AUUGAACGCUGGCGGCAGGUCUAACACAUGCAAGUCGAACGGUAACAGGAAGAAGCUUGCUUCUUUGCUGACGUGUUGCGGACGGGUGAUUAAUGUCUGGUAAACUGCCUGAUGGAGGGGCAUAACUACUGGAAACGGUAGCUAAUACCUCAUAAUGUCGCACGACCAAAGAGGGUGACCUUCGGGCCUCUUGCCCUCGGAUGUGCCCAGAUGGGAUUAGCUAGUAGGUGGGGUAACGGCUCACCUAGGCGACGAUCCCUAGCUGGUCUGAGAGGAUGCCCAGCCACACUAGAACUGAGACACGGUCCAGACUGCUACGGGAGGCAGAAGUGGGGAAUAUUGCACAAUGGGCGCAAGCCUGAUGCAGCUAUGCCGCGUGUAUGAAGAAGGCCUUCGGGUUGUAAAGUACUUUCAGCGGGGAGGAAGGGAGUAAAGAUAAUACCUGUGCUCAUUGACGUUACCCGGAGAAGAAGCACCGGCUAAAUCCGUG
rnacentral:rRNA from 1 species